GGGAUGCUCAGUGAUCCUUCGGGAUAUCAGGGCAUCCC
rnacentral:misc_RNA from 1 species